rnacentral:rRNA from 1 species
GGGGCUCCUUGGUGAAUCAUAAUAACUUAACGAAUCGCAUGGCCUUGCGCCGGCGAUGGUUCAUUCAAAUUUCUGCCCUAUCAACUUUCGAUGGUAGGAUAGUGGCCUACCAUGGUAGCAACGGGUAACGGGGAAUUAGGGUUCGACUCCGGAGAGGGAGCCUGAGAAACGGCUACCACAUCCAAGGAAGGCAGCAGGCGCGCAAAUUACCCAAUCCCGAUACGGGGAGGUAGUGACAAUAAAUACUGAUACAGGGCUCUUUUGGGUCUUGUAAUUGGAAUGAGUACAAUUUAAAUCCCUUAACGAGGAACAAUUGGAGGGCAAGUCUGGUGCCAGCAGCCGCGGUAAUUCCAGCUCCAAUAGCGUAUAUUAAAGUUGUUGCAGUUAAAAAGCUCGUAGUUGAACCUUGGGCCUGGCUGGCCGGUCCGCCUCACCGCGUGUACUGGUCCGGCCGGGCCUUUCCUUCUGGGGAGCCGCAUGGCCUUCACUGGCCGUGUCGGGGAACCAGGACUUUUACUGUGAAAAAAUUAGAGUGUUCAAAGCAGGCCUUUGCUCGAAUACAUUAGCAUGGAAUAAUAGAAUAGGACGUGCGGUUCUAUUUUGUUGGUUUCUAGGGCCGCCGUAAUGAUUAAUAGGGAUAGUCGGGGGCAUUAGUAUUCAAUUGUCAGAGGUGAAAUUCUUGGAUUUAUUGAAGACUAACUACUGCGAAAGCAUUUGCCAAGGAUGUUUUCAUUAAUCAGUGAACGAAAGUUAGGGGAUCGAAGACGAUCAGAUACC